AGUGAACGCUGGCGGUAGGCCUAACACAUGCAAGUCGAACGGCAGCACAGGAGAGCUUGCUCUCUGGGUGGCGAGUGGCGGACGGGUGAGGAAUACAUCGGAAUCUACUCUGUCGUGGGGGAUAACGUAGGGAAACUUACGCUAAUACCGCAUACGACCUACGGGUGAAAGCAGGGGACCUUCGGGCCUUGCGCGAUUGAAUGAGCCGCGGUCGGAUUGGCUAGUUGGCGGGGUAAAGGCCCACCAAGGCGACGAUCUGUAGCUGGUCUGAGAUGAUGAUCAGCCACACUGGAACUGAGACACGGUCCAGACUCCUACGGGAGGCAGCAGUGGGGAAUAUUGGACAAUGGGCGCAAGCCUGAUCCAGCCAUACCGCGUGGGUGAAGGAGGCCUUCGGGUUGUAAAGCCCUUUUGUUGGGAAAGAAAUCCAGCUGGCUAAUACCCGGUUGGGAUGACGGUACCCAAAGAAUGAGCACCGGCUAACUUCGUGCCAGCAGCCGCCGUAA
rnacentral:rRNA from 1 species